rnacentral:lncRNA from 1 species
CCAACGUCUGAAAGCCAACUCUUCAAUCAUUUCUCAGAGGGAAGAGCCCUGGGGACAAGGCCAGGGCUAAGAGGGACGAGAGAGCCAGGAAAGUCCAGGCCAAGGGUGCCUCUUGAACCUUGUGGCUGAGGGGAGCAGGCUGUUGGGAUGAUCAGCAGACAUGGAAAGUCCUUCCAGCUCUACCCCUGUGUAUUUCCCAGCGAAUGCUCUCGGAUUUUAGGACUUACCUCCUAAAAUUUUCACUUGGUCUAAAGCAAAAGGCCCCAGGCUUUCUGUCAGGAGCUGCAACUUUUCAUCUGAUGAGGAGGUAAUGAGAUUUGCUGAAUUCUGGCUAUGGGGUUCUGUGUUAAAUACUUUUUUUAAUCUUUUUUUUUUUUGAGACAAACUUCACAUAACAUAAAAUUCACCAUUUUAAUUAUUUUGAAGAGUACAAUUUGGUGGUUUCCAGACCACAAUGUGCAACCAUCAUCACUAUCCAUGUUCAGAAUAUUUCCAGCACAUCAUCUCACAGAAUCCCAUCAACACUACUAUGAGUCUAAACUGCAGUUCAUUUAUUGCAGAGCCCUGUUCACAUGGGUUCUCAGAGACAUUUUCAUUCUCGCUUCUCACCACGCUGGAGAUGAGAACUAGAUGUGGUUUUCUAGAUACAGUCUACAUUUCCCUUUGAAUCUGGAAGUCCGGCUUCAAGCCCCUUUGAAGAGGCAGGCCCAUGGGAUGAAUUCUGACCAAUGGAUUUGGCUAAGAUUUAAGAGCCAGUGCACCAUCCUUCAGCUAACUCUUCUCUCCACCUGCUGCAAGGACAUAAACAUUUCAAUGGCACAAAGAUAGAGCACCUUGAAUUGUUACUGCAAAGAAGACAUCUUUUCUGGAGAGUCACCCAAGCAGUGGAUUUGUGAAUAAAUAAAUCUUGUGUUAAGGUUCUGAUAUUUUGUGGUUAAUUUGUGACCAUAGUACUACAUAGCCUAUUCUAAUGAAUAUGUAGUGACUAUCAGAAUCACUAGAGAACAUACAAACAUAAUUCAUAUUAUAGGUCAAAACUUCAGU